GAUGAACGCUAGCUACAGGCUUAACACAUGCAAGUCGAGGGGUAACGAGAGGAAAGCUUGCUUUCCUUGUCGACGACCGGCGCACGGGUGAGUAACGCGUAUCCAACCUGCCCCCAACUAGGGAAUAACCUUGCGAAAGUAAGACUAAUACCCUAUAAUUUCCUCAGAUGACAUCUGACGAGGAAUAAAGAUUUAUCGGUUGUGGAUGGGGAUGCGUCUGAUUAGCUUGUUGGCGGGGUAACGGCCCACCAAGGCAACGAUCAGUAGGGGUUCUGAGAGGAAGGUCCCCCACAUUGGAACUGAGACACGGUCCAAACUCCUACGGGAGGCAGCAGUGAGGAAUAUUGGUCAAUGGGCGAAAGCCUGAACCAGCCAAGUAGCGUGCAGGAUGACGGCCCUAUGGGUUGUAAACUGCUUUUAUACAGGAAUAAAGUUAGCCACGUGUGGUUAUUUGUAGGUACUGUAUGAAUAAGGACCGGCUAAUUCCGUGCCAGCCGCCGCCGUAA
rnacentral:rRNA from 1 species